CCGAUUAAUCUUCUAAUAUGCCGCCUGUUUUAACAACGCUCUAUGACCAUUGAACUGACAUGAUAUUUACUGACACAUCCAUUCUAUCUUGUUGAUGCUCGGGUUGAUAAUGUAGUUUGCAGGGUAUCGUCUACAGAGCACAAGACCUGAUGGUGGCAGCAUCAACUUGUGCCUUGGCUGUAGCUCCAUUGGCAUAUGCCACUGCUGUUAAUUCCUGUGCAAGAAAGGAGGGGGUCUGGUCAUGGUCACGGUCGGAAGGUAUUAAUUAUGCACCAGCUCUCGCUGCUGCAACUGUAGGGAUUGUGCUUGCUCAACGGGCCACUGCAACUGCCAUAGCUGUUGCAUGUGCCCUUACUGCUAAGGGAUGCCAUACCUGGUGUUCCAUCCUGUAAUAUAUUAAGUCUCCCCAAAGAACUUCCCUGUUCGAGCAAAAUGCAGCCCUUGCAUUAACAUCUAUAUUUCUGGCCUUCCUUCCAUCCAUUUUGAAUUUCCUUCCUCUCUGGUCAACGGUUCUCCACUUAAGCUCUUCUCAUGGGCCUCGAUUGUAUACGUGCUCUGAUUGAUGCUCUGAGCGAUCCCGAAUGGUCCUGGAGGGAAGAUUUGCAGCAAGUUGUGAAAUCCAGAGUGAUGUUAAUGAUGACAGAUGACACAAGCUCAAGCACCAUGGAGGCAGCACCUUUGUGACUCACACGGGGUUUUUCGAGCUUCCUCUUUCUCUCUUUUUUUGUGUUUUUACGUAUUUAUUUUUGGUGGGUGAGAGUUGCUAUCACAGAUGGACCAUUCUUGCACCUUUGUGACUCACACGGGGGUUUCUCGAGCUUCCUCUUUUUUUUUUCUUUUUU